CCUACGGGAGGCAGCAGUGGGGGAUAUUGCACAAUGGGGGAAACCCUGAUGCAGCGACGCCGCGUGGGUGAAGAAGCGCCUCGGCGCGUAAAGCCCUGUCAGCAGGGAAGAAAAUGACGGUAACUGAAGAAGAAGCCCCGGCUAACUACGUGCCAGCAGCCGCGGUAAUACGUAGGGGGCAAGCGUUAUCCGGAUUUACGGGGUGUAAAGGGGGCGCAGACGGCGAUGCAAGCCAGGAGUGAAAGCCCGGGGCCCAACCCCGGGACUGCUCUUGGAACUGCGUGGCUAGAGUGCAGGAGGGGCAGGCGGAAUUCCUGGGGUAGCGGUGAAAUGCGUAGAUAUCAGGAGGAACACCGGUGGCGAAGGCGGCCUGCUGGACUGCAACUGACGUUGAGGCCCGAAAGCGUGGGGAGCAAACAGGAUUAGAUACCCUAGUAGUC
rnacentral:rRNA from 1 species